GAUGAACGCUAGCGGCAGGCCUAAUACAUGCAAGUCGAACGAGAUUGUUUUAGCAAUAGAACAUGAAAGUGGCGCACGGGUGCGUAACACGUAUGCAAUCUACCUUUAAUAGGGGAAUAGCUUCGAGAAAUCGGAAUUAAUACUCCAUAACAUAAUUGAGUGGCAUCACUUGAUUAUCAAACCUCCGGGGAUUAAAGAUGAGCAUGCGCAACAUUAGCUAGUUGGUAAGGUAAUGGCUUACCAAGGCUACGAUGUUUAGGGGGUCUGAGAGGAUGAUCCCCCACACUGGGACUGAGACACGGCCCAGACUCCUACGGGAGGCAGCAGUGGGGAAUAUUGGACAAUGGGGGCAACCCUGAUCCAGCAAUGCCGCGUGAGUGAUGAAGGCCUUAGGGUCGUAAAGCUCUUUUACCAGGGAUGAUAAUGACCAGUACCUGGAGAAUAAGCUCCGGCUAACUCCGUGCCAGCAG
rnacentral:rRNA from 1 species